rnacentral:lncRNA from 1 species
AACGCUUCUUGGGAUUUAUCAAACAUUUUACAACACUAUCAAUAAUCUCUAAAUAUUUUCACAUAUUCUUGCCAUUACUUGGAUAGAGAUUGAAAACAUGGCCAGAGCAUAUUGUAGCUUCUCACUUCAAGAGAUUUUGUCUUCUCCUAUUUGGAACCCAUAUACCAUAUGUGAAGAAUCCCAGCCUACCUUGCUGGAGAAAGAUAUAACUUGUGAAGAAGAAAAUGGAUGUCACAGCCAACUGCCAGACAUCUGAAUAAGGUCACCUUGGAUCACUGAGCCCCAGUCAAACCAUCAGAUAAACACAACUGCCUGAAUGAUCCCAAAGAAGAACAGAACUUCUUAUCUGCGCAUAGCCCAAAUUGCUCAUCCUCAGUACUGAAAGAGCCGAGGUCAGAAUGAGAAACACAUCCCCACAGGAUUUCUGACCAUCAGUAACAUGAAUUAGCUGGUGUGCACUCUGCUCUGUAACCCUGGAAUCUCCUUUCUACUCGGAGGGAACCAGAUGUACAGCAUGAAGAAGUAUGCCCUUUGGAAAUGUAAAUGAAUACAGUUAAGAGGCUACACCGCCCUUUAAAGGAGUUCUUCUGAUCUCUUAGGAGCUUUACAUUUUGAAGAACAUGGAUGGAUGAGAAACUUGAUGUGGAUUAGAGAAGGACUCCUUCUGUCACCCAGGCUGAGGUGCAAU